rnacentral:rRNA from 1 species
UGCAUAUCAAUAAGCGGAGGAAAAGAAACCAACAGGGAUUGCCCUAGUAACGGCGAGUGAAGCGGCAACAGCUCAAAUUUGAAAUCUGGCAACAGCCCGAGUUGUAAUUUGCAGAGGAAGCUUCUGGCGACGCACUGUCUAAGUCCCCUGGAACGGGGCGCCACAGCGGGUGAGAGCCCCAUGUGAUGGCUGCGGACCCAGUGUGAAGCUCCUUCGACGAGUCGAGUAGUUUGGGAAUGCUGCUCAAAAUGGGAGGUAAAUUCCUUCUAAAGCUAAAUAUUGGCCAGAGACCGAUAGCGCACAAGUAGAGUGAUCGAAAGAUGAAAAGCACUUUGAAAAGAGGGUUAAACAGCACGUGAAAUUGUUGAAAGGGAAGCGCUCAUGACCAGACUUGCGCUGGGCUGAUCAUCCGGUGUUCUCACCGGUGCACUCUGCCCGGCUCAGGCCAGCAUCGGUUUUGGUGGGGGGAUAAAGGCGCCGGGAACGUAGCUCCUCCGGGAGUGUUAUAGCCCGGUGUGCAAUACCCCCGCUGGGACCGAGGUCCGCGCAUCGCAAGGAUGCUGGCGUAAUGGUCAUCAGCGACCCGUCUUGAAACACGGACCAAGGAGUCAAGGUUUUGCGCGAGUGUUUGGGUGUCAAACCCGCACGCGUAAUGAAAGUGAACGUAGGUGAGAGCUUCGGCGCAUCAUCGACCGAUCCUGAAGUUUACGGACGGAUUUGAGUAGGAGCGUUAAGCCUUGGACCCGAAAGAUGGUGAACUAUGCUUGGAUAGGGUGAAGCCAGAGGAAACUCUGGUGGAGGCUCGCAGCGGUUCUGACGUGCAAAUCGAUCGUCAAAUCUGAGCAUGGGGGCGAAAGACUAAUCGAACCAUCUAGUAGCUGGGUACCGCA